rnacentral:rRNA from 1 species
GCAUGGUUGUCGUCAGCUCGUGCCGUGAGGUGUCGGGUUAAGUCCCAUAACGAGCGCAACCCUACCUUUAGUUGCCAUCAGGUAAUGCUGGGGACUUUCAAAGGAACUGCCUACGCAAGUAGUGAGGAAGGCGGGGAGUGACGUCAAAUCAGCACGGCCCUUACGUCCAGGGCUGCACACGUGCUACAAUGGCCGAUACAGAGGGCAGCUACCUGGUGACAGGAUGCAAAUCUCCAAAAGUCGGUCUCAGUUCGGAUCGGAGUCUGCAACCCGACUCCGUGAAGUUGGAUUCGCUAGUAAUCGCGCAUCAGCCAUGGCGCGGUGAAUACGUUCCCGGGCCUU